AACGAACGCUGGCGGCGUGCCUAACACAUGCAAGUCGAACGAGAAUCCGGGCUUCGGUCCGGUAGUAAAGUGGCGCACGGGUGAGUAACACGUGGGUAACGUACAUCGUAGUGGGGGAUAACCAGGUGAAAGCUUGGCUAAUACCGCAUGAGUCCGCUGGGGCGCAGGCCCUGGCGGGGAAAGUGGAGCAAUCCACGCUACGAGAUCGGCUCGCGGCCCAUUAGCUAGUUGGCGGGGUAACGGCUCACCAAGCCGAAGACGGGUAACCGGUCUGAGAGGAUGUCCGGUCACACUGGGACUGAGACACGGCCCAGACUCCUACGGGAGGCAGCAGCAGGGAAUCUUGGGCAAUGGGCGAAAGCCUGACCCAGCGACGCCGCGUGGAGGAAGAAGUCCUUCGGGGCGUAAACGUCCUGGACUGGGGGACGGAGUAAGGACGGUACCCCGACGUAGAAAGGGACGGCGUAACUACGUGCCAGCAGCCGCGGUAAGGAGUACUCUAU
rnacentral:rRNA from 1 species